rnacentral:lncRNA from 1 species
UACAUAUUAUGAAAAUGUUUUAGUCUGUUUCCACCAUUCCAUGUAUUUUCGAACUUUGUGAAAGAAAGCAUCAAUUGUUGGAAAGAGCAGCAAAGAACGACUUCGCAGCCAAUACUCGUGCAUUGCCUCUCCGGUAAUGGAAGAAGUGGUCUGUUUUGUUUAUUAACUACAGCAAUAAUUGAAUUUUUAAAUAAACCAACGAAUAUACCAGAUUUACUAGCUAUUGCUUCUGGUAUAACUACCGCUCGAAAGAAUAUUUUGCGUGAUAGGGAACAUCUUAAGUUUGCAUUUCAGGUUUUUCUACAUUAUCUACAAGAUAUUCAGUUAACAAACUUAGGAGUGAAAAGUGCACCAGAAACUGAAAAUUUUGGAAAAGAAAAACCGUUAGAAAAGCCUACAGAUAAUACAGAUCCUUUAAGCACUUUAGACCCUUUAUGGGCAACAAAAAGAAGUAAAUAAUUGAUCCAUAAUUUAAACAUAUUCGCUUUAUAAACUGAUUAAUCUUCAAGAUUUGUUACUUUUAUUUGGGCACGAAUAAAAAUGAAAUAUUAAUA